ACGAACGCUGGCGGCGUGCUUAACACAUGCAAGUCGAACGGAAAGGCCCCUUUGGGGGUACUCGAGUGGCGAACGGGUGAGUAACACGUGAGUAACCUGCCCUUGACUUCGGGAUAACUUCAGGAAACUGGGGCUAAUACCGGAUAGGAAUCCUUGCUGCAUGGUGGGGGUUGGAAAGCUUCGGCGGUUUUGGAUGGACUCGCGGCUUAUCAGCUUGGUGGUGGGGUAGUGGCUUACCAAGGCUUUGACGGGUAGCCGGCCUGGGAGGGCGACCGGCCACAUUGGGACUGAGAUACGGCCCAGACUCCUACGGGAGGCAGCAGUGGGGAAUAUUGCCCAAUGGGCGGAAGCCAGAUGCAGCAACGCCGCGUGCGGGAUGACGGCCUUCGGGUUGUAAACCGCUUUCAGCAGGGGCGAAGCUUGUGGUGACGGUACCUGCAGAAGAAGCACCGGCUAACUACGUG
rnacentral:rRNA from 1 species